GACGAACGCUGGCGGCGUGCUUAACACAUGCAAGUCGAACGGAAAGGCCCUGCUUUUGUGGGGUGCUCGAGUGGCGAACGGGUGAGUAACACGUGAGUAACCUGCCCUUGACUUUGGGAUAACUUCAGGAAACUGGGGCUAAUACCGGAUAGGAGCUCCUGCUGCAUGGUGGGGGUUGGAAAGUUUCGGCGGUUGGGGAUGGACUCGCGGCUUAUCAGCUUGUUGGGGGGGUAGUGGCUUACCAAGGCUUUGACGGGUAGCCGGCCUGAGAGGGUGACCGGCCACAUGGGUACUACGAUAGGGCGCAGACUGCUACAGGGGGCAGAAGUGGAAAAUAUUGCACAAUGGGGGGAAGUCUGAGGAGGCAGCGCCGCGAGCGGGAAGACGGCCUUCGGGUUGUAAACCGCUUUCGCCUGUGACGAAGCGUGAGUGACGGUAAUGGGUAAAGAAGCACCGGCUAACUACGUG
rnacentral:rRNA from 1 species